AUGAACAUUGCACUCCUAUCCCGCUGGCUCUGGCGCAUUUCGCAGGGACAGGGAGGCCUCUGGCUCGACAUCAUCCGGAACAAGUACUUGCGUGGUCAGCCGCUUGCCUUCUGUCAGAGAUCUGGCGGCUCCCAGUUCUGGCAGUCGGUUGUCCAGCUUCUCCCGGUCCUCUGCAUUGGGACAUCCAUCUCGGUGGGAUCUGGGGCGGCGACUCUGUUCUGGUUUGACCGUUGGGCUGGCGACUCCCCCUUCGCGGCGCGCUACCCUUCCCUCUUCUCUAUUGCUGUGGAUCCUUCCAUUUCUAUCGAGAGGGCCCUUAUUGACUUAGGGCGCCUCGCUUUUCGGAGGCCGUUUGGCCCUCCGGAGUCCGCCGCCUAGCGUGAGUUACUUGAUUGUGUAGCGCUCCAUGAGCCGGCUAUGGAUAUGGGUCCGGACCUGGUAAGAUGGCGGCUCGAGCAAUCUGGCCAAUUCUCCACCAAAUCCCUCUACCAGGCCAUCGCCCCUUCCACCGCUACUCCUCCCCUCACGGCGGUUUGGUCCGUCUGCCUGCCCCUGAAGAUCUGGAUCUUCAUGUGGCAAUCGAUCCAUGGACGGAUCCCGUCUGGGGUGGAGGUCCACAAGAGGAAUGGACCCGGAACGGGCAUCUGCCCGCUUUGCGGUGUCCCAGAAGACUCGAAUCACAUCUUCUUCUCCUGUGUAUCCGCUCAGUUCGUUUGGAGCUGCUUUUGGGAAGUGGUGGGUGGCAACUGGUGCCACGCCAACUUCCCCGAUCUAUUUUCCGAACUCCAGUCCUCCCCCUGUCUUCUCGCCACAUUAGGUGGCUUGAGAUCGGAGCCCUCGCGUGGACCCUCUGGACGAUUCGCAAUAGACUCGUGA
rnacentral:rRNA from 1 species